UACGGGGGGGGCAAGCGUUGUUCGGAAUUACUGGGCGUAAAGGGCUCGUAGGCGGCCAACUAAGUCGGACGUGAAAUCCCCAGGCUCAACCUGGGAACUGCGUCCGAUACUGGAUGGCUUGAAUUCGGGAGAGGGAUGCAGAAUUCCAGGUGUAGCGGUGAAAUGCGUAGAUAUCUGGAGGAACACCGGUGGCGAAGGCGGCAUCCUGGACCGACACUGACGCUGAGGAGCGAAAGCCAGGGGAGCAAACGGG
rnacentral:rRNA from 1 species